rnacentral:SRP_RNA from 2 species
GGUCGGGUCCCCUGCAAGCGGGGCGCGUGAACCUGGUCAGGCGGGGAACCGAGCAGCCAUAAGCGUUAGUCUCGUUGUGUAGGGCAAACCCGGCCACC